UACGUAGGGGGCAAGCGUUGUCCGGAUUUAUUGGGCGUAAAGGGCGUGUAGGCGGCCUGACAGGUCUGCUGUGAAAGCUCGAGGCUCAACCUCGAGAUGUCGGCGGAAACCGUCUGGCUAGAGUCCGGAAGAGGAGAGUGGAAUUCCUGGUGUAGCGGUGAAAUGCGCAGAUAUCAGGAAGAACACCCGUGGCGAAGGCGGCUCUCUGGGACGGUACUGACGCUGAGACGCGAAAGCGUGGGGAGCGAACAGG
rnacentral:rRNA from 1 species